rnacentral:rRNA from 1 species
GCGCAGGGAGCCGUGAAGCGAGCCACCUGGGAAGUACGGCCGCAAGGCUGAAACUUAAAGGAAUUGGCGGGGGAGCACAACAACGGGUGGAGCCUGCGGUUUAAUUGGACUCAACGCCGGACAACUCACCGGGGACGACAGCAAUAUGUAGGCCAGGCUGAAGACCUUGCCUGAAUCGCUGAGAGGAGGUGCAUGGCCGUCGCCAGUUCGUACUGUGAAGCAUCCUGUUAAGUCAGGCAACGAGCGAGACCCGUGCCCACUGUUACCAGCAUGUCCUCCGGGAUGAUGGGUACUCUGUGGGGACCAAA